rnacentral:rRNA from 1 species
AUGGAAAUCGCAGCAGCGGCUGCUGACUCCGGUGCCGGCGAGCUGGACGUGGUGGUGUUCCCGUGGCUGGCGUUCGGGCGCAUGAUUCCGUACCUGGAGCUCUCCAAGCGCCUGGCUGCGAGGAGCAACGCCGUGACCUUUGUCUCCACGCCACGGAACCUCGCCCGGCUCCCGCCCGUGCCGGCGCACCUGUCCGCCCGCCUCCGUUUCGUGCCGCUGCCGCUGCCGGCCGUGGAGGGCCUGCCGGAGGAUGCUGAGUCAACGGCCGACGUGCUGCCCGACAAGAUGGGCCUCCUCAUGAAGGCCAUGGACGGCCUUGCCGACCCGCUCGCGGCUUUCCUAGCGGACGCCGUCGCCGCCGGGAGGAGGCCGGACUGGAUCAUCCUCGACUUCUGCCACCACUGGGUGCUGCCCAUCGCCGACCAGCACAAGGUACCGUGUGCGCUGUUCCAAAUCCUCCAUGCUGCCAUUGCGGCCUUUUUGGGGCCGCGGUGGGCGAACGCCGCGCACCCGCGCACGGAGCCGGAGGAUUUCACCGUGCCGCCCAAGUGGAUCCCCUUCCCGUGCACCACCUUCUUCCUCCGCCACGAGGCUCAGUGGGUUGCCGGCGCCUUCCACGCCAACGCAUCUGGCGUGUCCGACAUGGACCGUCUAUGGCACAUCUGGGAGCGUUGUCGCCUCACCAUCCACCGCAGCUGUGAAGAACUGGAGCCCCAGAUCUUCAGCCUCCUCUCCGAUCUCUUCCGAAAGCCCGCCAUCCCUGCCGGGAUCCUGCUACCGGCGGUGCCCGACGACCGUGAUGAAGACCACCCACAAAACAGCUCAGGCGGUGUCAGCCGUCCCAAGGUCCUACGAUGGCUGGACGACCAGCCCCUCAAGUCUGUCAUCUACGUCGCGCUGGGCAGCGAGGCACCACUGACGCUAGAGAACAUCCAUGAGCUCGCGCUCGGGAUAGAGCUCGCCGGUGUGCGCUUCCUUUGGGCUCUACGGAAGCCGGCUGGCACCGGCAACGACGAAGAGUUGUUGCCAGCCGGGUUCGAGGAGCGAACCCGGUUGCGCGGGCCGGUCUGCACAGGGUGGGUGCCGCAAGUGACGGCGCUUGCGCACGGCGCCACGGGUGCAUUCCUGACGCACUGCGGGUGGGGCUCCACCAUUGAGAGCUUCGCCUUCGGGCUCCCGCUGGUUAUGCUCCCGUUCAUUAUUGACACGCCCAUGAUUGCACGGGCGAUGGCGAAGAGAGGGAUAGGUGUGGAGGUGGCGAGGGACGAGAGCGAUGGCUCGUUCGACAGGGAUGGCGUCGCAGUGGCCGUGCGACGUGUCAUGGUGGAGGAUGAAGGAAAGGUGUUUGCAACCAACGCCAAGAAGCUGAAGGAUCUUGUCGUGGACCAGGGGCGUCAGGAACAAUACAUCCACGAGCUCGAGGACCACUACCAGAAAAACUUCGUUUGCCGACGGCCAAGGGCAGGCCGUAGGCGUAGAAAAGCCGUCGGCAUAAAUACAUAUAUGCCGAUGGGGCCGUCGGCAUAUACGAGGCCGUCGGGACCGCUCGAGGUACGCCUACGGGGCCCGUCGGCAUAG